AUGGCCCGCGAGGAGGGUUCGCGCAUCACCGGGAGCAUGGCGUCCGACGAGAGCGCGGCCAAGCAUGCGUUGGCCGCCGGCGAGGAGCGCCCGUUAAAGCCAUGCCGAGAUGCUUCGACGGAGAAGCGCCCGCUGAAGCCGUGCGCCGCCAAAAGGAAGGCGGAGACAGGCGACGACGACGACGAGCUGCUCGCCGCCAAGAAGAAGGCCUUCUACGCCAAGUCAGGUCCAAGCAGAAAGAUGAGGCGGCUGCCGCGGGCGGAGGUGGCCUCCAUCCUUUCCAGUCGGACCCAUCCCGAUCGCGCCCCUCCAUCCUUUCCGGGUUCUGGACCCAUCCCGAUCGCGCGACUUCUAUGA
rnacentral:rRNA from 1 species